rnacentral:rRNA from 1 species
CGUACACUCCUGCGGGAGGCAGCAGUGGGGAAUAUCGGACAAUGGGCGCAAGCCUGAUCCAGCCAUGCCGCGUGAGUGAUGACGGCCCUAGGGUUGUAAAGCUCUUUCACCGGUGAAGAUAAUGACGGUAACCGGAGAAGAAGCCCCGGCUAACUUCGUGCCAGCAGCAGCGGUAAUACGAAGGGGGCUAGCGUUGUUCGGAUUUACUGGGCGUAAAGCGCACGUAGGCGGACUAUUAAGUCAGGGGUGAAAUCCCGGGGCUCAACCCCGGAACUGCCUUUGAUACUGGUAGUCUUGAGUUCGAGAGAGGUGAGUGGAAUUCCGAGUGUAGAGGUGAAAUUCGUAGAUAUUCGGAGGAACACCAGUGGCGAAGGCGGCUCACUGGCUCGAUACUGACGCUGAGGUGCGAAAGCGUGGGGAGCAAACAGGAUUAGAAACCCUGGUAGGCCC